rnacentral:tRNA from 1 species
GGGGAUGUAGCUCAGUGGUAAAGCGCAUGCUUUGCAUGUAUGAGGCCCUGGGUUCAAUCCCUGGCAUCUCCA